UGCAAGUCGAACGGUGAAGCCAAGCUUGCUUGGUGGAUCAGUGGCGAACGGGUGAGUAACACGUGAGCAACCUGCCCUGGACUCUGGGAUAAGCGCUGGAAACGGCGUCUAAUACUGGAUAUGAGCCUCUAUCGCAUGGUGGGGGUUGGAAAGAUUUUUUGGUCUGGGAUGGGCUCGCGGCCUAUCAGCUUGUUGGUGAGGUAAUGGCUCACCAAGGCGUCGACGGGUAGCCGGCCUGAGAGGGUGACCGGCCACACUGGGACUGAGACACGGCCCAGACUCCUACGGGAGGCAGCAGUGGGGAAUAUUGCACAAUGGGCGGAAGCCUGAUGCAGCAACGCCGCGUGAGGGAUGACGGCCUUCGGGUUGUAAACCUCUUUUAGCAGGGAAGAAGCGAGAGUGACGGUACCUGCAGAAAAAGCGCCGGCUAACUACGUGCCAGCAGCCGCGGUAAUACGUAGGGCGCAAGCGUUAUCCGGAAUUAUUGGGCGUAAAGAGCUCGUAGGCGGUUUGUCGCGUCUGCUGUGAAAUCCCGAGGCUCAACCUCGGGCCUGCAGUGGGUACGGGCAGACUAGAGUGCGGUAGGGGAGAUUGGAAUUCCUGGUGUAGCGGUGGAAUGCGCAGAUAUCAGGAGGAACACCGAUGGCGAAGGCAGAUCUCUGGGCCGUAACUGACGCUGAGGAGCGAAAGGGUGGGGAGCAAACAGGCUUAGAUACCCUGGUAGUCCACCCCGUAAACGUUGGGAACUAGUUGUGGGGACCAUUCCACGGUUUCCGUGACGCAGCUAACGCAUUAAGUUCCCCGCCUGGGGAGUACGNCGCAAGGCUAAAACUCAAGGAAUUGACGGGGACCCGCACAAGCGGCGGAGCAUGCGGAUUAUUCGAUGCACGCGAAGAACCUUACCAAGGCUUGACAUACACCACACAC
rnacentral:rRNA from 1 species